rnacentral:rRNA from 1 species
AAAGCUAGCCCAAACAAUAAAUUAACUUAUCCAAAUACCAAAUAACCUUAAACUAAAACAUUCAUCUACUAAAGUAUAGGAGAUAGAAAUUUUAAUUUGGCGCUAUAGAGAAAGUACCGUAAGGGAACGAGUGAAAGAAACAAUUAAAAGUACGAAACAGCAAAGAUUACCCCUUGUACCUUUUGCAUAAUGAUUUAACUAGAAAAACUUUAGCAAAGAGGCCUUAAGUUAAACACCCCGAAACCAGACGAGCUAUCCAUGAACAGCCCAAAAAGAGCAAACUCGUCUAUGUAGCAAAAUAGUGAGAAGAUUUAUGGAUAGAGGUGAAAAGCCUACCGAGCCUGGUGAUAGCUGGUUGUCCAGAUAAGAAUUUUAGUUCAACUUUAAAUUUACUACAAAAAUAUAUAAUUACACCGUAAAUUUAACUGUUAAUCUAAAGGGGUACAGCCCUUUAGACUAAGGAUACAACCUUAAUUAGAGAGUAAAUAUACUAAUAACCAUAGUUGGCCUAAAAGCAGCCAUCAAUUAAGAAAGCGUUCAAGCUCAACAAUAAUUAAUUCCUUAAUCCAAUGAUUAUAUAUUAACUCCUGACUUACUACUGGACUAAUCUAUUAAUCAAUAGAAGAAAUACUGUUAAUAUGAGUAACAAGAUUUAUAUCUCCUAGCACAAGCUUAUAUCAAACCGAAUAAUAACUGAUAGUUAACGGCCAAAUAAAUAUAAUCCCACAUAAACUAUUUAUUAACCCACCUGUUAAUCCAACACAGGUGUGCAUAAAGGAAAGAUUAAAAGAAAUAAAAGGAACUCGGCAAA